UGAAGCAGAGCGGGGUGAGUGUCCUCCCCAACGGAAAGAACUUCAUGUUUCCAAUGGAAGCUAUGGCAGGAGAAGCUUUCCCCUCUGAUCAUGUGUUGCUUUUCUCUUUCUUUACAGAGGAAAAGAAGGUAACGCUGGGUAAGUCUCCAUCAUGCAUCUGAAUGUAUCUGGGGUCAUCGCAAUGGGAUGGGAAAGCUGUUCCCUCUCACCAUGAUUUUCAUCUCAUUUCUAGAGCGCCAGUCUGCAAGACUGAAGGAACAAGCAGCAGAGCUGGUGAGGAAGGAUACAGAACUCGAGGAACAAGCAGCUGAGAUGGCACAAAAAGAGAAAAGGCUGG